rnacentral:rRNA from 1 species
CCUACGGGAGGCAGCAGUGGGGGAUAUUGCACAAUGGGGGAAACCCUGAUGCAGCGACGCCGCGUGAGUGAAGAAGUAUCUCGGUAUGUAAAGCUCUAUCAGCAGGGAAGAAAAUGACAGUACCUGACCAAGAAGCCCCGGCUAACUACGUGCCAGCAGGCGCGGGUACACGUGGGGGGCAAGCGUUAUCCGGAUUUACUGGGCGUAAAGGGAGCGUAGGGGGUUAUGAAAGUCCGGAGUGAAAGCACGGGGGCCAACCCCGGGACUGCAUUGGAAACUGUGUAACUGGAGUGCAGGAGAGGCAUGCGGAAUGCGUGGUGUAGCGGUGAAAUGCAUAGAUAUCAGGAAGAACACCGACGGCGAAGGCAGCCUGCUGGACUGCAACUGACGUUGAGGCUCGAAAGCGUGGGGAGCGAACAGGAUUAGAUACCCCGGUAGUC